UCUUCCUUUUGGAAUUUGGAUGUCGAGCGACCAACAUCGCCCCGAACAGGCUCAGCAAAAAUCAUUAAUGAAAAAGUUCCAAAGUCAAGAAAAGAAUAUUGUCAAAGCGCGAGUGGUAUCCAGCAGCAGCAAAGCAAAAGUCGCGGGACUACGAUAACUGAAGAUAGGUCGGCCACUGGGGCCAAGAUUGACGGAUUUGGCGCCUAGCAAUUUGGGCUGGCGAAGCAGCGGCGCUCCAAGCAGCUGAUCCGUCGCAGCACAGAGCGAGGGAGCAGAGACGCAGAAAAAAUUCAGAGAGGCUCGACCUUCGCGGGCAGCCGGAUCGACGUCGGUGAGGCGGCGGCCACAAAGCGGGACGGUCGAUAAUCCGCGAUAGCGGAAAGUUCAGCACCGGCGAAAUACGAACGGAGAAAAAGGAGGAAAAUAGCGCAAAUCCUACCUAAACGUGCCGUAUGGCAAAUACAGUUAACAAGGCCCAAUUAAGAUCCGCAGCACAUAGGGAAGGAAAGAGUUAGUGUGUUGUUGGAGUUCAAUACUCAGAGCUGCAAGGGUAAUGCCCCAAAAAAAUAAAGAGAGCGAGCGGAGCCAAAGGUGAUGCGCGCAUAGGCAGAGAGUGAAAGCGGGGGAGAUAGAGAACACGCGAGCAGCAAAGGCAGAGCCCAAUAGGAGAGCGAGCGAGCUAUAAAAACGCUCGCCAGCAACGGAGCCGAAGGGGGCUGGCGAUAAGCCGAGAGAAGUAACAUAAGUUAACAUAAGAGUAAGCAGAAUAGUACCGAGCAGCAGAACAGCUAUUUAAGUUUACAUACAUAUACAUAAAAAAGAAAUGCAGAAAUGAAGAACAGCAGUGAGGGAGCAUAGAGUAGGAAAAGAAGGGCAAGAGGAAGAGUGAAUAUGAAACUAAAACAAAUCCAUAAAUAGAUAACCUUCCAUGCA